rnacentral:rRNA from 1 species
UACGAAAGGUGCAAGCGUUACUCGGAAUCACUGGGCGUAAAGCGCACGUAGGCGGCUUUGUAAGUUAGAGGUGAAAGCCCGGGGCUCAACCCCGGAAUUGCCUUUAAGACUGCAUCGCUAGAAUUGUGGAGAGGUAAGUGGAAUUCCGAGUGUAGAGGUGAAAUUCGUAGAUAUUCGGAAGAACACCAGUGGCGAAGGCGACUUACUGGACACAUAUUGACGCUGAGGUGCGAAAGCGUGGGGAGCAAACAGG